CUGGCCUCCAACUCCUGGACUCAAGCAAUCCACCUACCUCGGCCUCUCAAAGUUCUGGGAUUACAGGCGUGAGCCACCGCGCCUGGCCUGUGCUAAGAAUUUUCUACAUUUUACAAAGAACUAAGAAAUAACCCAAAGAAAGCACUGAGUCCUGGGGAUCUGUGGUCUCAUUUCCUGCAGCCUGUUUCCUGCGGCCUGUUUCAGUGAGCUCUGUUGCUUGUUAAAGCCUUAAAUAAAGUCAAUAUUUUGUGAUGAGACCAUUUCAGAGGACAUGCUUGCAUAUCUGUGAUGGGCCCAUGGACUCCCAACAGAUGCUGCUAUUUUCAUAAUGACAUUUUCUAGCAGCAGAGAUGAAACAAAUAUUGAGGCGUUGAGCUCCUUUCUUUGUUAUAUCAGAUUAGAAUGUAAUGCCAAUUGCAUCCAGCUUUAAACAAACUCAAGGAAUAAAAAU
rnacentral:lncRNA from 1 species